GGGGCCGUAGCUCAGCUGGGAGAGCGCUGCAAUCGCACUGCAGAGGUCAGGGGUUCGAUUCCCCUCGGCUCCACCA
rnacentral:tRNA from 4 species